rnacentral:rRNA from 1 species
CACGUAGGGCGCGAGCGUUGUCCGGAAUUAUUGGGCGUAAAGAGCUCGUAGGCGGUGUGUCGCGUCGGCCGUGAAAACUUGCAGCUUAACUGUGGGCGUGCGGUCGAUACGGGCAUCACUGGAGUUCGGCAGGGGAGACUGGAAUUCCUGGUGUAGCGGUGAAAUGCGCAGAUAUCAGGAGGAACACCGGUGGCGAAGGCGGGUCUCUGGGCCGAUACUGACGCUGAGGAGCGAAAGCGUGGGGAGCGAACAGG